AGUGAACGCUGGCGGUAGGCCUAACACAUGCAAGUCGAACGGCAGCACAGUAAGAGCUUGCUCUUACGGGUGGCGAGUGGCGGACGGGUGAGGAAUACAUCGGAAUCUACUUUUUCGUGGGGGAUAACGUAGGUAAACUUACUCUAAUACCGCAUACGACCUACGGGUGAAAGCAGGGGAUCUUCUGACCUUGCGCGAUUGAAUUAGCCGAUGUCGGAUUAGCUAGUUGGCGGGGUAAAGGCCCACCAAGGCGACGAUCCGUAGCUGGUCUGAGAGGAUGAUCAGCGAAACUGGAACUGAGACACGGUCCAGACGCCUACGGGAGGCAGCAGUGGGGAAUAUUGGACAAUGGGCGAAAGCAUGAUACAGCAAUACCGCGUGGGUGAAGAAGGCCUUCGGGUUGUAAAGCCCUUUUGUUGGGAAAGAAAAGCAGCAGGUUAAUACCCCGCUGUUCUGACGGUACCCAAAGAAUAAGCACCGGCUAACUUCGUG
rnacentral:rRNA from 1 species